UAACUUUAAAAUUUAACUGUGAUAACUUCCCAUCUCCAUCAACAUUCCCAGUAAACAGAAGUAAUCUAUACUUACAGUAAUAUUGCUUUCAAGUCUAUCUUCCAAAAUUUGCUACUUAAAGUGAAAAAAAAAAAAAAAAGUAAGGAAAGAAUUUGAAGAAUUCCCAGAAAUUGCAACAGGGUCCACUUCUGGGCUGAUGAAUAGCUCCUUGAGGAAAGUCAGCUCUCUUAUUAAUAUAACAUCUGGCUUGCAUCUUGCAUAAAUAAAAACACCAGAGCAGGAUAGAAAUAUCGGAAAAGGGAAGAAGGAGGAAGGAAUGUGUGUUUUCUAGCAUAAUAAUCUCUAACAGCCAAGAAAUCUAAUUAGAAGAAAUGUCAUCUCAUGGGAUUCUAGUCAAGAAAAUUCCACAGGAGAAGGCAAAGCCUCAGGGGACCACAACAAAAACAGUGAAUCAGUCCACCAAAAACACAUGGAAAUAAUGGUCAAUCUGUGGCUAGGAAUACCCUGUUGAAUCCAGACUGUGAUGUCGAAAUGUCAUUUGUCACUUCAAGAAAUAGGAACACCAUGGAGAACAGCUGAUUCCAGGUCUGGGACAUGAAAUGGCCAAGAUGAUUAUUGUCGAAGUAAUAAUGAAAUUAGAGAAUAACCAUUUUGCUUCUCCUAAUGUAUUAAUGGAUGAAGAUAUGAUCAUGAGUGGCUAUCCAAACCAUCAGGUGAAUGCAUUUGAGUCAGUUCUAGUGAGGUGGAUGAAACUGGAGCCUAUUAUACAGAAUGAAGUAAGUCAGAAAGAAAAACACCAAUACAGUAUAUUAAUGCACAUAUAUA